GUCGCAUGGUCGGUUUGGUAAAGACAAAUCAACUUCGCAAUUUGCACCAGUAUUUUUGUCUCCUUGAAGCCCCUUCUUCAUGUCCGGUUUUCUCUGAACCGGCCCCAGUUUUGGGUUCAGAACCAAUACCAAAUUUCCUGGAUCCAUUACUGGGCUUUUGUUGCUUAGCCCAAUUGUAAUAUCAUAUAGCUUAGCCGAAGCUCAAUAAAGAGGCUUUCAUUGAUUUUUUCCUUUUUAGUUUAAUUUGGUUAGUCUCGAGUUGUAGCAAAAGAAAUAAAUAUUCCUUA
rnacentral:lncRNA from 1 species